AACAAAUUUUCAUAUCAAAAAGUGAGAAGAAGAUUGUGGAGCUCAGAAGGAUUUGUUCUCUUGGAAAUUGCGCUUGAAUGUAUCAGUCAAACAAAAUGAUCCGGAGACUUGAAACAACUGGAUGUGAAGAAAUGCAGUGUUAAGGUUUGCAAUCACCUAGUGCCAUGGUUAUCCAAGGGACAUCCAUUUAUAAGGAAGGAAUUGGCCAAGUUGGCCGAAUGAGGAAUAUCGCUGUAACGUUUCAGCGUGAUGAUUAUUGUCAGGAAUCCAGAUCCUUCUGUGGAAAAGCUGUCAAGGAUCAAGAAAUUUAGUAGAUUCUGCCCCGUGCAACUGUCUGGAUUUGGUUGUUGCAAGCGCAUUAAUUCUUAAAAUUUAAGUCGGAUUGCUCAAAAAUGUGCUUCGUAUCCGUACAACCAGAAAAUGGAGGACCUCUUCAACGAUAGGAACAAACUUAAACAGAAAAUUUAGAUAAUUGA